AAGGAGCAGUUUCUGUUCAACAUCGGCUUGAGUCCCCUGGAUCCUGCGAGUAUUCCAUCUUUCCUUUCUUUUUCUUUUCUUCCUCUCUUCUCCCCUUUCUCCCCUUUUUUUUUUUGACUGCGCGUCACCUCCUUCUUUUUCACCCCAUUGCUGAUCUCUUUUUCUCUCUCUUAUUUUUUUCUUUUUUAGAAAUGGACAUCGAAGCAGCACGGAUGCUUGCCAGGGGCCUUAAGCUUCACAAAAGAAAAGGCACCGUGGCCUUCGGGUCGGCAAAGAAGGCCAGAACGGAGGAAACGAGCUCGGCCAUGCCUGCCCAGGCGGC
rnacentral:lncRNA from 1 species